rnacentral:rRNA from 1 species
GAGUGGCGAACGGGUGAGUAACACGUGGGUAACCUGCCCAUCAGAAGGGGAUAACACUUGGAAACAGGUGCUAAUACCGUAUAACAAUCAAAACCGCAUGGUUUUGAUUUGAAAGGCGCUUUCGGGUGUCGCUGAUGGAUGGACCCGCGGUGCAUUAGCUAGUUGGUGAGGUAACGGCUCACCAAGGCCACGAUGCAUAGCCGACCUGAGAGGGUGAUCGGCCACAUUGGGACUGAGACACGGCCCAAACUCCUACGGGAGGCAGCAGUAGGGAAUCUUCGGCAAUGGACGAAAGUCUGACCGAGCAACGCCGCGUGAGUGAAGAAGGUUUUCGGAUCGUAAAACUCUGUUGUUAGAGAAGAACAAGGAUGAGAGUAACUGUUCAUCCCUUGACGGUAUCUAACCAGAAAGCCACGGCUAACUACGUGCCAGCAGCCGCGGUAAUACGUAGGUGGCAAGCGUUGUCCGGAUUUAUUGGGCGUAAAGCGAGCGCAGGCGGUUUCUUAAGUCUGAUGUGAAAGCCCCCGGCUCAACCGGGGAGGGUCAUUGGAAACUGGGAGACUUGAGUGCAGAAGAGGAGAGUGGAAUUCCAUGUGUAGCGGUGAAAUGCGUAGAUAUAUGGAGGAACACCAGUGGCGAAGGCGGCUCUCUGGUCUGUAACUGACGCUGAGGCUCGAAAGCGUGGGGAGCAAACAGGAUUAGAUACCCUGGUAGUCCACGCCGUAAACGAUGAGUGCUAAGUGUUGGAGGGUUUCCGCCCUUCAGUGCUGCAGCUAACGCAUUAAGCACUCCGCCUGGGGAGUACGACCGCAAGGUUGAAACUCAAAGGAAUUGACGGGGGCCCGCACAAGCGGUGGAGCAUGUGGUUUAAUUCGAAGCAACGCGAAGAACCUUACCAGGUCUUGACAUCCUUUGACCACUCUAGAGAUAGAGCUUCCCCUUCGGGGGCAAAGUGACAGGUGGUGCAUGGUUGUCGUCAGCUCGUGUCGUGAGAUGUUGGGUUAAGUCCCGCAACGAGCGCAACCCUUAUUGUUAGUUGCCAUCAUUCAGUUGGGCACUCUAGCAAGACUGCCGGUGACAAACCGGAGGAAGGUGGGGAUGACGUCAAAUCAUCAUGCCCCUUAUGACCUGGGCUACACACGUGCUACAAUGGGAAGUACAACGAGUUGCGAAGUCGCGAGGCUAAGCUAAUCUCUUAAAGCUUCUCUCAGUUCGGAUUGCAGGCUGCAACUCGCCUGCAUGAAGCCGGAAUCGCUAGUAAUCGCGGAUCAGCAC